CCUCCAGUCUGAGGAGACAAAACCAGCUGAGGAUCCGGCAAGGUUAUGUACUCACGCUGGAAGGUUUGGAGCUAGGAACCUAGAGGAGAGAGAAUCUGGUAUUUGUCUUUCUGGCCUGGGUUGCCUCACUCAGUACAAUAGAGGUUGAAGCAGCACCCAGUUUCCCCACGUUCCUUCUGGGAAUGCAGAUGUCUCAUUAAGGAAGAGGUAAAAAAAAAACAGAGCAGAGACACGGAAUGAAGCUAAGUUUGACCAGUGCCUCCUGGCCUCUUGCAGACGGAAGUUCUCUAACCAGUGGUCAGAGGCCAGCCAUCCUGUCGGAUCCCGUUCUGUUUCUGAGGGUGAGAAAGUGAGGCCCACAGGGGUUCAAAACAUUGUCCAGGAUCAAAUGGCCAGUGAGGAGUGGAGCUGGAAUCUCAAAUAUCUGAGCUGAAAAUUCCUGAACCAUGUGCCGGCCAGGUUGCGUCCUCUGAUCCCUGGAUCGUAAUGAGGACAGAGGCUGUAUCAAAAUCAGCAGCAGACUGCCCACCUACUGGUACUCCAGCCUGCAGGAUCUCAAAGUCCUUCGUAUCCGGAGCUGGCAGAGCCAUGCCGGCCCUGCUCACUCGAGCACUCACUGUGAGAAGGGGACCCUUCACGUGUGUGUGUCUUUUUAGAGUGGAAGUCAGGAAAACCUUCAGAACAAGCCACCAAAUGUCACAGUGGAACGUGAGAAGCACGUGGGGAGUGGGUCUUCGUGGCUGUGUCCUCCCUGACUCUGCAGCGCUCGCUGUGUAUUAACCUCACAUCUGCUAGCCCUAGAAAGCAGGAAAGACCGGGGCGUACAAGAACCCUUUUUUAGUGUUCUCUCUGCCAAAAAGUCAUGGAGAGGCUUGGAUGAAAAGACUGGGCGAACCUGGAGAAGUGUUGUCUCUUUGCACUCUGGGGGGUGAGCAUUCGAGCUGGAAAGGGCCCAGUGGACAUUUUUCUCCAGCCCUGUCAUAUUAUGUUCUUUGUAUGACACUGGGACGCUUUGGAUGGGGGGUCUACUCAGAAGGUGACCCUACACUACCUUCUGGCUGCAGAAACUGGGUAGAGUCGGGGCACACAGGAGGUAGGAGCUGGCAGUGGGAGGGCGAUGAUGAGUCAAUUGUGAGCCAAAAUACCAGCCAUUAAAAAUAGAGCCAACUCGCCCUUCUGUGUCAACCAAACUCUCAUCGACAUUUCCAAGCUGUCUUUAGGGAUUGGAAGUCAAAGGAAACAAGAUCUUACUUUACUCUGUGGGUCAAUUCUCUAAUGAUUAACGGCAGAACGUAACGAAAGUUAAACAUACCAGGUUCGCGCCACGUAAGCCCUCUCACUUGCCUUGGUAGUUUGGCGUGAAGCCUCUGGCCAGAAACUUUUAUCUGUGGUACCCCAUCACAGACAGUGAGGAAAAUGGCUGCACAAAGGUGAAUGGCUUUCCCGAAGAUGGUAGAUCUACUCGGUCCAGAGAUAAGAUCAUGAACUUGUAUGCAUCUACCAUUCUUUCUAUGAGCCUCAGCCAUCAAACCAAGUACCGUAUAUCUGCAUUUAAUGGGGAGAGCAAUUGGAGGGCAAAUUUUGAGUAGUCGACAGAGCUGGGUAAUUAUAUUCAUAGGCUCACUAACCGUGUGUGUGUGUGUGUGUGUGUGUGUGUGUGUGUGUGUGUGUGUGUGUGUGGCUGGCCACAUAACUUCCCUAGGCUUUAAUUUUUCCACCUGCAAAAUAAUAGCGAUACUUGACUCAAGAGAUGAGUCUUGUAUAAUAGUAGCGGGACCAGCCUUACUAUUAUACAUCCCAGGGGCUCAGGAGAGAGAACUACUAAUGGCGAGGACUAUUUUCAGGAAAUAGUAUCUCAG